ACAAUAAAAAUCUACGGUGCCAUUGGAGGAUUGUCUGUGUUUGUCCCUGACAUCACAUCGAAAUCAACGUGAAACUUCUUGGAUUGGACUAGAUUCCGGUUUCAAAUUGUCUCUCCCUUUCUGUGUGUUUGUAGUUCGGUCUGUGACUCUGUACACAACAAGAGAAAAGAAGGCCUUCUGCGUGAUAUACACGUCUGGAGUAGCUUCGGCUGACAAAAUCCUUCGCACUCCCGAUGAGACUACCUCCCAAAAUCAAAUACAAGCCCGUGGCUCUCUCUCUGCUUCCUGAGAACGAGGACGAACCGGCGCCGUUGCAGAUUUUCGACCCGAGAUGUUCGGGCAAUAAACGCCUGAGACGUUCUCCGAGGCUCACUCCUCGGAGUCCUCCAGAGGUCAAUGCGGCUCAAACCAUCGGUAAGAAAGCCGCUUCCAUGGCUUCCAAACAAUCAAAGUACCUCAGAAGUUGGCCCAGACUAUCAUCUGUUUCGGAAACGCGAAAUGCUGCUCUCGAAUGUUUGAAUGCUCGGAGUUUCAGAAGGUCGCCGAGACUGAAUAAUACUCCGGAUCCUAAUCCGGAUUCUUUCCCGGGUACAUUGCCCGGAUCGUCGAGGAAAUCCGAUUCUCUGAAGGGUAGGGGUAGUUUGGAAAAUUCCAAGUCGUCAAUGUUCCACGAAAACUCUCCUAGACGGUCUCCGAGAUUUAUGCCCACUCAAAAUGGCAAAGCUGAGCUUAGCUUAGAUAAGGUGAGGAUCAGACAUGGCUCAAAAGAGUUGAUGGACCUCAAAAUGCUGCAAGAUAGAAAAAGGUUGAAGGUUCAAAUCUUGACAAUGAAUGCUGAUGAAGAAGGUAAUAUACUGUCUAUGGUGGAGUGCUCCAAAGAGAAGUGCCUAAGGAGAUCUCCAAGACUGUCCUCGAUACAAUCUGGAGCCAAAAGCAGAUUUUCAAAGGCUUCACUGCAAAAGAUGUCUUCAAGAAACUUGCAGUCCCUUGGAAAGGGCAGCUUCAAAGCAGUCUCACCAAGAACUUCCAAUUUUAUAGCAAGAUCAUCAGGAGAAUCAAAAGCUGAGCCAAUUUCUCUCUUAUGGCAUGAGGAUGGUGAUAAGGCAUCUAAGGCGUCCAAAUACUAUGAUGCUGAAUUCUUUGGUGGUAGGCACUUGAGAAGGUCGCCAAGGCUAAAUUCAAGAACUCAAAACAAUGGCAGGGAUAAAUCUAUGGACAAAUUUCAUAUUGACUUAUUUAAUAAAAACCACUUAAGAAGAUCUCCAAGACUACUUGCAUCUUUGACACAGGCUGAUAAUGUCAAACUAGACUGUACUCUCAUUACAUUGUCUAGUUCAGAUGAGCAGUUUUCCAGCAUCAUUACGCCCUCUUCAGAAAAAUAUGAUCUGGAUGGAGAUUGCUUUAGGCAAUCUCCAAUUACAGCAACAUCUCUGUUUGGGGCAAAUAAUGGCAAAAGAGAACGCACUUUUAUUGAAUUGCCUAAUUCAGAUGAAGAAUGUUCUCCAAAGAAAUUUAAGUCAAUGGAUUCUUCAGUGGAUAAAUGGAAUAAGUACAAACAUAUGCCUUUCUUUGUUGGAGAUCCAAUUCCGGACGAUGAAGCUCAAGAAAGGUGGCGUUGGCGUUAUGAAAUAAAGAGCCAAAGAUCUAAAGGUCAACACUUGGAAAUUAUUGAGGAUGAAGAAGAUGAGAUAGUUUGGAAUGUGCAGAGCCAUUAUGCUCAAGCUAAACUCAACAAUCGCAUAUUUAGUUUGGGAGAUUGUGCGUAUAUAAAGGGUGAUGGAGGACAAAAACACAUAGGUAGGAUCCUGGAAUUUUUCAGAACAACUGAUGGAAAGAACUAUUUCAGAGUCCAAUGGUUUUAUAAAGUUGAAGAUACAGUUAUCAAAGAAGAAGGUGCUUUUCACGACAAGAAGCGUCUAUUCUAUUCUACAAUUAUGAAUGAUAACUUGAUAGAUUGUAUUAUUUCAAAAGUCAACAUUACACAAAUAACACCUAGGGUAGGACGAAUAUUGAACUUUAUUCUGCCGUCUGACUUCUAUUUUGAUAUGGAGUACUGUGUCGACUAUUCAACAUUUCGCUCCUUGGUGAUUGAUAAUUCAGUUAGAAGUCAUGAUGUAUCAUCACCAGAUGGCAUUAAGCCUGUAGAUACGAGGGCCACCCCAACCUUUUCACAGAAUGUUCCCAAUAGUGAAACCUAUGAAGCCAAAUUAGCACUAUUAGACCUUUUUUCUGGUUGUGGUGGAAUGUCUACUGGAAUGUGUCUUGGUGCCAAGCUUACCGGUGUUAAUCUUGCAAUGAGGUGGGCCCUUGAUAGUGAUGGGUCUGCAUGUGAAAGCUUGAAAUUAAAUCAUCCAGAGACACACGUUAGGAAUGAAACUGCUGCGGAUUUUCUAGAGCUCUUGAUGGAAUGGGAAAAGCUAUGCGGACAUUAUAGAGUCGAUGGUGCUGGAAGAACUCAUCCCUCAAGAGUAGUGACCUCAGGAGCAGACAACUGCAAUGGAAUUCCCACCGGUGAAUAUGAAGUUUCUAGACUUGUUGAUAUAUGUUACGGUGAUCCCAAUAAGACAGGCAAGCGUGGACUGAAUUUUAAGGUGCAUUGGAAGGGUUAUAGCACAAGUGAGGAUACAUGGGAGCCAAUUGAAGGGUUAAGUAAUUGCCAGGAAAGGAUACAGGAUUUUGUACAAAGUGGAUUGAAAUCAAAGAUCUUGCCACUCCCAGGUGAUGUUGAUGUCAUUUGUGGAGGUCCUCCUUGCCAAGGCAUAAGUGGUUAUAACCGCUAUAGAAAUAUUGAUUCUCCAUUAUCUGAUGACAGAAAUCGUCAAAUUGUAGUCUUCAUGGAUAUCGUCACAUUUUUAAAGCCCAAGUUUGUGUUGAUGGAAAAUGUUGUUGACAUUUUGAGAUUUGACAAGGCCUCCCUUGGAAGAUAUGCAUUAAGUCGUUUGGUACAUAUGAAUUACCAAGCAAGGCUGGGAACUAUCGCUGCUGGUUGUUAUGGUCUUCCACAAUUUCGCUUGCGUGUUUUUUUAUGGGGUGCUCAUCCUAGUGAGAAACUUCCCCAAUUUCCGCUUCCAACACAUGAUGUUAUUGUUAGAUAUUGGCCUCCGCCCGAGUUUGAGCGCAAUACUGUUGCUUUUGAAGAAGAUCAACCUCGUGAACUAGAAGAGGCGCUUGUGCUUCGUGAUGCCAUCUCUGAUCUUCCAGCUGUCACAAACAUUGAAAUUCGUGAAGAAAUGUCUUGUGAAAAACCUCCAGAAACUGAUUUUCAAAGAUAUAUCAGAUCAACUCGAUAUGAGAUGACUGGCUCCGCACUAAAUGACUCUUUAGAAACAAAACAUUCACUUUACGACCACCGGCCAUUCGCAUUGAGUGAAGAUGAUUAUUUACGAGUUUGCCAAAUUCCAAAAAGAAAAGGAGCAAAUUUCCGAGAUCUUCCUGGUGUAGUUGUAGGAGCUGACAAUGUGGCUCGGCGGGAUCGAACAGAACAAAAGCUGCUGCCAUCUGGAAAGUCAUUGGUACCAGAUUAUGCAUUUACCUUUGAGCAAGGAAAGUCCAGAAGGCCGUUUGCAAGGUUAUGGUGGGAUGAGACAGUGCCCACUGUCGUAACAUCUCCAAGUUGCCACAAUCAGCAUUACAUCCAGAGCAAGACCGAGUCCUUACUAUACGGGAGUAUGCAAGGUUGCAAGGUUUUCCUGAUUACUAUAGAUUAUGUGGUACCAUCAAAGAGAGGACAGUUUCAGAAUCCUCUCCCUGUGUAUAGUUUUGGUUCAUAUGAAAAGGAAGCUGCUCAUAAUCCAGAGGUACUGUCAAGUUGGAAAUGCAGUUGCCAUUCCAGUUGCACGAGCCUUAGGAUAUGCCAUGGGAUUGGCAUUUCGGAAGCUCAGUGGGGAUGAACCACUCAUGACUCUCCCCCCAAGUUCACUCAGUCUAGUUAUAUUCAAUUGGCGAAAUCCCUGUCUCGUGGGGCAUUAUCAAGUUAGCAGAAUGGGAUGAGAGUAAAAUGGUGAUAAAUCUUGCUUCAAGCAACAUUCUGAAGGUGUCGGUGGUUUUGGACUACUUCGUAUUUGAAAUUUACACCAAUGGGUCUUAUCCUUCUAAACAAC